rnacentral:rRNA from 1 species
AGUCCAGACUCCUACGGGAGGCAGCAGUAGGGGAUAUUGCACAAUGGGGGAAACCCUGAUGCAGCGGCGCCGCGUGUGGGAAGACGGUCUUCUGGCUUGUAAACCACUGUCCCCAGGGACGAAAAUGACGGUACCUGGGGAGGAAGCUCCGGCUAACUACGUGCCAGCAGCCGCGGUAAUACGUAGGGAGCAAGCGUUGUCCGGAAUUACUGGGUGUAAAGGGAGCGUAGGCGGGGGUGCAAGUUGGGUGUCAAAACUACCGGCUCAACCGAUAGUCGCACUCAAAACUGCAACUCUUGAGUGAAGUAGAGGCAGGCGGAAUUCCUAGUGUAGCGGUGAAAUGCGUAGAUAUUAGGAGGAACACCAGUGGCGAAGGCGGUCUGCUGGACAGCAACUGACGGUGAGGCGCGAAAGCGUGGGGAGCAAACAGGAUUAGAUACCCGGGUA